AUCUCUUCUUGACCUUUUGGCUAAGAUCAAGUGUA
rnacentral:snRNA from 1 species